rnacentral:rRNA from 1 species
GAUGAACGCUGGCGGCGUGCCUAAUACAUGCAAGUCGAGCGAACUGAUUAGAAGCUUGCUUCUAUGACGUUAGCGGCGGACGGGUGAGUAACACGUGGGCAACCUGCCUGUAAGACUGGGAUAACUUCGGGAAACCGAAGCUAAUACCGGAUAGGAUCUUCUCCUUCAUGGGAGAUGAUUGAAAGAUGGUUUCGGCUAUCACUUACAGAUGGGCCCGCGGUGCAUUAGCUAGUUGGUGAGGUAACGGCUCACCAAGGCAACGAUGCAUAGCCGACCUGAGAGGGGGAUCGGCCACACUGGGACUGAGACACGGCCCAGACUCCUACGGGAGGCAGCAGUAGGGAAUCUUCCGCAAUGGACGAAAGUCUGACGGAGCAACGCUGCGUGAGUGAUGAAGGCUUUCGGGUCGCAAAACUCUGUUGUUAGGGAAGAACAAGUACAAGAGUAACUGCUUGUACCUUGACGGUACCUAACCAGAAAGCCACGGCUAACUACGUGCCAGCCGCCGCAGUAAUAC